AACGCGAAGAACCUUACCUGGUCUUGACAUCCCAGGAACCCUGAAGAGAUUUAGGGGUGCCGCAAGGAGCCUGGAGACAGGUGCUGCAUGGCUGUCGUCAGCUCGUGUCGUGAGAUGUUGGGUUAAGUCCCGCAACGAGCGCAACCCUUGUCCUUAGUUGCCAUCAUUUAGUUGGGAACUCUAAGGAGACCGCCGGUGACAAACCGGAGGAAGGUGGGGAUGACGUCAAGUCAUCAUGGCCUUUAUGGCCAGGGCUACACACGUGCUACAAUGGCAGGUACAGAGGGAAGCCAACUCGCGAGAGGGAGCCAAUCCCAGAAAGCCUGUCGUAGUCCGGAUCGGAGUCUGCAACUCGACUCCGUGAAGUCGGAAUCGCUAGUAAUCGCAGAUCAGCAUUGCUGCGGUGAAUACGUUCCCGGGCCUUGUACACACCGAGACGAC
rnacentral:rRNA from 1 species